GAAGGGACUCGCCUUGUCUCAGAUGAGACAUUGGACUGUGAACUUUUGAGUUAAUGCUGAAAUAAGUUAAGAUUUUGGGGGACUGUUGGGAAGGCAUGAUUGGUUUUGAAAUGUGAAGGUAUGAUAUUUGGGAGGGACCAGGGGUGGAAUGACAUGGUUUGGCUGUGUCCACGCCCACGUCUCAUCUUGAAUUGUAACUCCCACAAUUCCCACAUGUCAUGGGAGGAUCCCGGCGGGAGGUGAUUGAAUAUGAAGGCGGAUCCUUCCUGUGCUGUUCUCAUGAUAGUGAAUGCGUCUCAUGAGAUCUGAUGGUUUUAAAAAGGGGAGUUUCCCUGUACAAGCUCUCUUCUCUUGUCUGCUACCAAGUGAGAAGUACCUUUCACCAUGAUUGUGAGGCCUCCCCAGCCACAUGGAACUAUGGCUGAGUUAUGAGAAUGGAGUCCUCAUGGAUGGAGUUAAUACCCUUAAAAACGAGAUUCCAGAGACCUCCAUCAUCCACAGCAAAAGACACAGCAAAAAAACGAUUGUCUACGAUCCAGGAUACAGGUCCCCACUAGACAUUGAGUCUGUCUGUGCCUUGUCUUGGAUUCCUCAGCCUUCUUAACUGUGAGAAAUAAAUGUUUGUUGUUUAAGCCA
rnacentral:lncRNA from 1 species